rnacentral:misc_RNA from 1 species
CAACCCUCGAACCCCCGGGUUUGGUGUUGGGGCACACCUGCAGCGCGAGCGGCAGGGCCCCGAAAUACAGUGGCGGGUCCCUCGGUAUCCCGAACGUAGUAAUAUCUGUCGUUCAGGGCGUGCCGGCGGCGUCCAGCCGUUAAAAUUUCCACUGGAAACUUUCUCAA